UGUAGGUCGCGGAUGCUACUUGGAUCCCCUGUUGCUGUGGCUGUGGUGUAGUCUGGCAGCUACAGCUCCGAUUAGACCCCUCGCCUAGGAACCUCCAUAUGCAGCAAGUGUGGCCCUAAAAAGAAAAAAAAAAAAAAAAAAAAAAGGAACCAUGCCGCACGAUGUGAACUGUGGCACAUGGGCCACAGCUAAUUGGACCAGGGGUGAGCACCUGAUCCAAGAGCUGCCUCCCUAUUGGUUGGGCCAACUAUCCUAUGAGAUAGCUUAGCUCAAGAGCUUGUGCUGUAUGAACCAAUCAAAUUCCUCUGCUUAGGGAGUUUGGCUGGAAUGGAGCGGGAGCUGGGAGUCUGUCAGAGAAGCAGAAUGACACAGAAAGAAAACCAAGGACAGAGAGAGAAAUUGGUCCUUCAGUGGUGGCAGAGCGGAGUCGGACCCAUGAGCACCUACUGGGGUGACUACUUGAUCAAUAUCCGCCCCAGGGUUUGGGAGCCUCUGUCUACAGCCCCUCACCUGGUGAGCACAGCUCAGCCGCCAACACCACAGCCAACACCAUAGCCAGCACCACAGUCUCAGCCGUGUCGAGCACCUCUUCAACAGCAAGCAUUCAGACGAUGUCUCUCAACUCAACCUCAAUCACAACUAGCAGAUCUUCACUUCAGAGUUCAACAGAGCCCAAGGGCAGCAUGCCCACAUCAUUUAGCGCCUCAGGGGUGACGUCAGCCCAGCAAAACACAAGUCCAGCAGCCAGUACCAAAACUGAAAAACCAACCUCAGGCAGCUCUCCUACAGUUGGCUCAGAGGAUUUGAGAUCCACAGCACUCACCGUCUCGACAAAGCCUGAAAUCACAAGCGGUCAGAGUGAAAUUACUAAAGUUACAGCCAGCGUGGUCUCUACGGAAGGACAUCAGACAACCACUUCACCUAUAAAUCUGAAUAAUACCUCAAAGACCAGUCCUGCUUCUACUCCUGUUCCCGCCCUAGCAAGCAUUUCCCAGCCUGGCACGGUCCCUGGGACUCCUCCUGUUCCUGUGACUUUGGUCCCCAUGACUCCAGAGCCCCCAGGGAGCUCCUCCCAGGGAUCAAACAGAAAUAUUGCAACCACAAGUGUCAGCACACCAGCCACCUUCACAACUCAGGAGAUGCUGAUUACAAUAACGCCACCGGUUACCUCACGAGGAACCCAGCGUAUCCCCAGCGAGCCGCCGGUGCUCCCUGACACUCCUACGGCU
rnacentral:lncRNA from 1 species